rnacentral:sRNA from 1 species
UAUCUCUCUGUACAGGGAAGGAUGAGAAUCUUCGAUUAAGGUUCGACUCGAGCGGAAGCGAGAGAACGUUGCCAACGGCAA